rnacentral:rRNA from 1 species
UACGGGAGGCAGCAGUGGGGAAUAUUGCACAAUGGGCGCAAGCCUGAUGCAGCCAUGCCGCGUGUAUGAAGAAGGCCUUCGGGUUGUAAAGUACUUUCAGUCGUGAGGAAGGUGUUAAGGUUAAUAACCUUAGCAAUUGACGUUAGCGACAGAAGAAGCACCGGCUAACUCCGUGCCAGCAGCCGCGGUAAUACGGAGGAUGCGAGCGUUAAUCGGAAUUACUGGGCGUAAAGGGCACGCAGGCGGUUAAUUAAGUUGGAUGUGAAAUCCCCGGGCUUAACCUGGGAAUGGCAUUCAAGACUGGUUAGCUAGAGUCUUGUAGAGGGGGUAGAAUUCCAUGUGUAGCGGUGAAAUGCGUAGAGAUGUGGAGGAAUACCGGUGGCGAAGGCGGCCCCUGGACAAAGACUGACGCUCAUGUGCGAAAGCGUGGGGAGCAAACAGGAUUAGAUACC